rnacentral:rRNA from 1 species
CGACGCCGCGUGGGGGAUGAAUGGCUUCGGCCCGUAAACCCCUGUCAUUUGCGAUCAACCUCAUUAUUUAAAAGAUGAUGAGCUGAUGGUAGCGAAAGAGGAAGGGACGGCUAACUCUGUGCCAGCAGCCGCGGUAAUACAGAGGUCCCGAGCGUUGUUCGGAUUCACUGGGCGUAAAGGGUGCGUAGGUGGUGGGGUAAGUCGGAUGUGAAAUCUCGGAGCUCAACUCCGAAAUGGCAUUGGAAACUGCCCUGCUGGAGGGUCGGAGGGGGGACUGGAAUUCUCGGUGUAGCAGUGAAAUGCGUAGAUAUCGAGAGGAACACCAGUGGCGAAGGCGAGUCCCUGGACGACACCUGACACUGAGGCACGAAAGCUAGGGGAGCAAACAGGAUUAGAUACCCUGGUAGUCCUAGCCGUAAACGGUGCGCGUUUGCUGUAAGAGGAAUCGACCCCUUUUGUGGCGUAGCCAACGCGUUAAACGCGCCGCCUGGGAAGUACGGUCGCAAGAUUA